AUUCUCCUCUGGCCCUUUCCUCUGUUCUUCAGCCCCAACAGCUUCUCAAGACAUUUUCACCUGUGUAAAAAUCAGGAAAAGGGCACAUACGAAAAAUACUUCCCUUUGCCUAAUGAUCUUUAACUCAUAAUUAUGGUCAAGACGUUCGGGGUUUUGUUUGUGUCUUUUCCUGGAGAGGAGCAGAGAAGAGAGUGAAAGACACCCGAAACACCAAAUCUUCUUCCUAAUGUUAAUUAUCAUUGUUUAUGUUUUGUGAAGACCAUUCUAAACAUUCCACACCUGGAAUUGAAGACUGGAUACAAUUGUACCAGUGCUCUAUACGCUGAUGACAAAACCUGGAAUUAUUUUAGACCUAUUUUUUCUUUCCCAUCUCACAGCCAGACACAAUUUGCUUCUUUUCUUUCACGUGGUUACUUUCUCUACCUCAAAAAAAAUAGCUUAUCAUAGCUCCUCCCGAUUUCCUAUGGCAAAAUAUCUAGCAAGGAGCCUUAUUAAUCUUUUAUUAUGCUACACCUCCUUUCCCAGAGGAAUUAUUAAUAUCGCUAAUAACACUUCGACCAUGAAUUUCAACGCCACACAGGCCAGCCCAUCCUGUGCUUUACCUGGCACAUUUCACAACUACUUUUAUGCUGCAUUCUUGGGGGCACAUUUUGCAACUCGUUCUGCACCACAUUCCCUGCCACGUUUAGCAAUCCGCCUCGUAUCUUAUUCUUGAUCCCCGUCAUCCAGAGACGCUCUAGGUACCAAAUUCCAUGACAUCUUCGGUGACAGCCAAGCGGCGACCCCACACGCCUCUGAAGCCCGCCUUGGUGUCAUAUUCGGAGCCAGCCUUCCCCACGCCUUGGACACCGAGGCACUUCGCUGCCCAUUUCGCCGUCUCCCCGCUCGCCCCCGCCCCUCUCCCCAGAGCCAA
rnacentral:lncRNA from 1 species